rnacentral:rRNA from 1 species
UACGUAGGGUGCAAGCGUUGUCCGGAAUUAUUGGGCGUAAAGAGCUCGUAGGCGGUCUGUCGCGUCGAAUGUGAAAACCCGGGACUCAACUCCGGGCCUGCAUUCGAUACGGGCAGACUAGAGUUCGGUAGGGGAGACUGGAAUUCCUGGUGUAGCGGUGAAAUGCGCAGAUAUCAGGAGGAACACCGGUGGCGAAGGCGGGUCUCUGGGCCAAUACUGACGCUGAGGAGCGAAAGCGUGGGGAGCAAACAGG